rnacentral:rRNA from 1 species
CGCUGGCGGCGUGCUUAACACAUGCAAGUCGGACGAUGAAGCCCAGCUUACGUGGGUGGAAGAGUGGCGAACGGGUGAGUAACACGUGAGUAACCUGCCCAUCACUCUGGGAUAAGCGCUGGAAACGGCGUCUAAUACUGGAUAUGAACAGCGGCCGCAUGGUCAGUUGUUGGAAAGAUUUAUUGGUGAUGGAUGGACUCGCGGCCUAUCAGCUAGUUGGUGAGGUAAUGGCUCACCAAGGCGACGACGGGUAGCCGGCCUGAGAGGGUGACCGGCCACACUGGGACUGAGACACGGCCCAGACUCCUACGGGAGGCAGCAGUGGGGAAUAUUGCACAAUGGGCGCAAGCCUGAUGCAGCAACGCCGCGUGAGGGAUGACGGCCUUCGGGUUGUAAACCUCUUUUAGUAGGGAAGAAGCGCAAGUGACGGUACCUGCAGAAAAAGCACCGGCUAACUACGUG